rnacentral:rRNA from 1 species
UACAGAGGUCUCAAGCGUUGUUCGGAUUCAUUGGGCGUAAAGGGCGCGUAGGCGGCGGGGUAAGUCGGGUGUGAAAUCUCAGAGCUCAACUCUGAAACUGCACUCGAUACUGCUCUGCUUGAGGACUGGAGAGGAGACUGGAAUUCAUGGUGUAGCAGUGAAAUGCGUAGAGAUCAUGAGGAAGACCAGUGGCGAAGGCGGGUCUCUGGACAGUUCCUGACACUGAGGCACGAAGGCCAGGGGAGCAAACGGG